UACGGAGGGUGCGAGCGUUGUCCGGAAUUAUUGGGCGUAAAGAGCUUGUAGGCGGUUUGUCGCGUCUGGUGUGAAAUUCCAGGGCUUAACCCUGGGCUUGCAGUGGGUACGGGCAGACUAGAGUGUGGUAGGGGAGACUGGAAUUCCUGGUGUAGCGGUGAAAUGCGCAGAUAUCAGGAGGAACACCGGUGGCGAAGGCGGGUCUCUGGGCCGAAAUUGACGCUGAGGAGCGAAAGCGUGGGGAGCAAACAGG
rnacentral:rRNA from 1 species